rnacentral:SRP_RNA from 1 species
GUUCGGGUCCUGUGCAAUAGGACACUGUGAACCUUGUCAGGUCUGGAAGGAAGCAGCAAUAAGCAGGAGCGCUUAUGUGCCACAGAUUCGCCUGCUCCUA